GGGGGGGGGGGGGGGGGGGGGGGGGGGGGGGAGGGCGGGGGGGGGGGGCGGGGGGGGGGGGGGUGGGGGGGUGGCGAGCGGGUGAGGGGCGCGGGAGGAGCGUGCCCGUGACGGGGGGAUAAGUUCCGGAAAGUGGGGCUCAUACCGGGGAGGCGCGCCUGCGGCAUGGUGGGGGUUGGAAGGUUUGGGCGGUUUGGGAUGGGCUCGCGGCUUAUCAGCUUGUGGGUGGGGUAGUGGCUUACCAAGGCUUUGACGGGUAGCCGGCCUGAGAGGGUGACCGGCCACAUGGGGACUGAGAUACGGCCCAGACUCCUACGGGAGGCAGCAGUGGGGAAUAUUGCACAAUGGGCGGAAGCCUGAUGCAGCAACGCCGCGGGCGGGAUGACGGCCUUCGGGUUGUAAACCGCUUUCGCCUGUGACGAAGCGUGAGUGACGGUAAUGGGUAAAGAAGCACCGGCUAACUACGUG
rnacentral:rRNA from 1 species